ensembl:lncRNA
GUGCAAAACCGCACGGAAACCGUACGGAUUCCGUACGGAUUUGGCAAGAAUCUUGCACUUUUACCGCGCCAUUCUAGGGCCGGAUUGUGGCCUUCUUGGCUUUCCAUACGGUUAAGCCAGCCGUCACACAAAAUCUUCGUGCGCCUUUACCGUUUCUCGUCUCCUUUGCCGUCUCUCGUCUCGAGCUUCUCGCUCACAACCAAUCACGUUCUUCUGGUCGCUAGUUCUUAAUUGAUUUCAGCUGCGUCUCCCCCGCCUCUCCUCAUAAGGCGCCCCCACCGUGCCGGAUGUUAAUCGUUUAUUUUGCGUUGGAUUGCGUGGGCUGAACAAUCCGGACAUCGUGGCCACCGACGUGGACCCCGCGAACCACGCAGUGAGUAACGCGGGGUACUUCCUUCAUGGGCACUGCACAUGUUACACUCUCCCCAUCUCCUCCUGUCGUCUGUUCUUGCCCCUCUAUUGUACAUGUUUUACCGCUGGAGGUUAAUGUGGAUUUGCUGAUGGAAGUGGUAGUUUGUGUUGAGUGGUUUAUCUAUGGGAUCGACUGACUAACGCUGCGGACCGCUACAGCACCGACCACCACACUGGGAAGCGUCCUCUGCUCACUGUGGAAGCAGCAUGGAAGAACUGCAGCAACUCUGAUGGAAACUACAGGACCGCCACGCUGUUGAACACAAACUGUUGUAGGCCUACUACAAACAGAGGCGGUCCCACUCGGUUAAAGAUCUUGUUGUCAAUGCGGCAGACCGCUGGACCUGGACGUCACCUUCUGCAGAUACUUAACUGCCCUCAGGGAAUCCACGGAUAACUUGAAACAUGUCCGACUCCACAUGUCCGAAAAAUCCAGGAUGGAAACUUGUGGAAGGAAGAAAAGUUCUGUUUUUGCUCAACCCAUAACCCCACUGAGCCCUUCUGUGGAAACCUGUCUGACUGACCCUACUGACUGGGGGCCUGUUGUGUGUUUGGUUGGUCUGGUAGAAGGUUUGCUGCUUGUGAUCUGCAAGGUGGUCCUGGGUUAGAUGCGGUGUCUGACUUGCACACCACUCUCCCAAUUCUAUUCUUCUCUUUGCUACUUUUCUACUUUCAAUACACUUGCUGCUGCUGCUGUUGACCGCUGGUGGUGCAAUGUGGUUUUUAUUCGCGUAUGUUCUGUGGACUUUGCAUUUGUAUUUUAAUGAACACGUUUACUGCCCGUUAGACCUCGGAUUGGCAAACCUAAACUCCUUCACUGGCAAAAUGUAGAUGCAACUUAAAUGCCCAAAUUAACACUUCAAUAUUCGUUUUGCGUAUUUCACCAAUAGCUUCGGAACUAGACGGACCUCGUAUAUAAUUUGCUCUUCAAAGAUGCGGUCAGGCGCCCCUCCGUUAUAUAACGUUUUCUGCCCGGUACGAAAUAGACCGACCAAUAGCAACCCUUUAGGCCAUCUAAUGUGAGGUUAGAUAUACGCAACAUGUAGAGGUGUUUCAACAACAAAGAUGGAAGUUAGAACUAAAGACUGUAUAUGCUCACUAAAAGAACGAACGACUACUACUCAAAGAUUUUGAGGAAUAUGUAUUUCUGCAUCACCCGUUCCAAUGCUAUGAUUAGUCGAGGCCUAUCCAAUAGCAUCGACCCAUUUUAUAUCGCGCCCUUUAGACGCGCCCCUUGGAAAUUGAACAACGCAUUUCAACGCAGAGGAUCCAGAAGGAUUUCACAACGAGUCCAUUGGAAGAUAUCAAGGAACAUGAACAUCACCAAUGAAGGAGAGUAACGUUUCCACUUGCUAUAGGAAUUUAGUGAAGCACUAAAUAGUUAAUAAUAAUAAAAUGUGGUCACCAUUUAUUGACUCGUUGGGUAAGACUUGCUUUACUAAUAUAACCGCGUUAAAACUAUUCAUUUACUUUUCUUGUGUAGUUUCCCACUAUUCAUUAAAUGUUUUAUAGAAGUACUAAUGUGUAUAGUUCUAUUAAUUACAUUUUUAUAACAAUUAAUCAUUAUACAGGAUUUGAACAUUUUCUACCCAAGCUCAUGCGUCCCAAAUAAUUUAUGAACAGUGGUUUGUUUUUGUUCAGGAGCGGCUUGUACUCCCAGAGGCUUCAACAGAGAGGGUCUGGAGCUGGGAGCUGCAGGUGGAUGGUGGCCAGGAGCCGUUCAGUCCUACAGGAACGACGGUAGAGGUGAUGGAGGUGCUCGCCAUGAGGUCCGUGGCGGUCGUCUGGAGGUGCUCGUCUGGAGAUCCGUGGCGGUCGUCUGGAGGUGCUCACCUGGAGGUCCGUGGCGGUCGUCUGGAGGUGCUCGCCGUGAGGUCCGUGGCGGUCGUCUUGAGGUGCUCGCCGUGAGGUCCGUGGCGGUCGUCUGGAGGCGCUCGCUGCAGGUGGAGGGAAGGCCGAGAGCCGUGCAGCCCAAGGGAUGCAGAACGAAGGACUGAGGCGGAGGCCAGCCUGGAGGCGGAGGCCAGCCUGGAAGUCCUGGAUGCGUCCAACCUGGAAGGGGCGGCAUGGAGGGGCCAGGUGGCGGCUCCUCAUCCAAAGGGCCCAGAGGCGGCCAACCUGGAAGGCCUGGAGACGGCGGAGGUCCUGGAGGCGGACGCCAACCUGGAGGUCCUGGAGGCGGUGGGCCUGGAGGCGGCGGCGGCAGUGGCCAUCCUGGAGGCGGACUACCUGGAGGUCCUGGAGGCGGAUUGUGGAGACCAUCCUGGAGGGCCUGGAGGUGGCGUCCACAUGGUGGUGGCCGGCCUGGAGGCAGUGGCCAACCUGGAGGUCCUGGAGGCGGUGGGCCUGGAGGCGGCGGCAGCGGCCAUCCUGGAGGCGGACUACCUGGAGGUCCUGGAGGCGGAUUGUGGAGACCAUCCUGGAGGGCCCGGCGGCGGCGUCCUGGAGGGCCCGGAGGCGGAGGCUCCUCAUCCAAAGAAAUGAGGCGACGUUGCGGAGGUCCAGGCGGUUGGCCCGGUGGAGGUCCUGGAGGAGACGGCCUGGAGGUGGAGGACGGCUGGGGGAUCCGGCGGUGGAGGUCCGAAGGCGGCUCGUGUUUAGACCAACCAGCUCCUCAUCCAUGGAAGGAUUGAAGGAGUCACUGGGGAUGAAGAUCACUGCUCAGGGGCUGACGACCCCCCCUCCUCAUCUUUCUGGAGAAGCGUCCUCAUGGUGCAGGCGGUCAAACCUCCACCUCUUUGAAGAGACCAAGCAGCUUGAUGACUGACUGGUUCCUUAUACUCAGGACCUCGAGCAGAGGAUAGACCUAAGGCCUACAGCGCAGCAGACUAGAGACUCCAUGUGGAACCGGUUCAAUUAAGUUGACCUCUCCUUCAGGCAACUUAAAGGGAGACCAGAUGUGCGGCAGCUGGGUGUCAUGGUGCAGAGACCCAACGCUGUACUGAACUACACCAGUGUGUCCUACUCCCCAUAAACCCUGAGGAUCCCUGGCUACACCAGCACAUUAAUCCACACCCAACAUUAACACACAGUGCACACUCUAUAGAGCUUGUAAGUCCGCCCCUUGCGGCGGGACCUCGUGAGAUCGUAAAAUAUGACUGGGUUUCAAUGGAGAGAAAGUAAAUAUUUUCUCCAUUAUGUUGCACCACAUUUUGGGGGAAGAAUGUUUGAAUCAAUCUUUGUCAUUUAUUUCUGUACUCCAUAUCUGUAAUCCCAGCUGUUGUAUUUUAACACGGUAGCUGGGAACCCUCUUUAUAGGGAGUGACUAGAGGGACGAGGCUGGAAGCAAACCUGAGCCUGGAUCUUAACCUUCUUUCUAAACCUAAUGCCGCAAUUUAACCUCAAAUAAAGUGAGGCCUAAAGUAACUUGACUCUCUUGCCUAAACUCGCUUGCAUAAAACCUGAACUUGCUUGGCUAAACUCGCUUGCCUAAUACCUGAACUUGCUUGCCUAAACUCGCUUGCCUAAUACCUGAACUCGCUUGCCCAAUACCUGAACUUGCUUGCGUAAACUCGCUUGCCUAAUACCUAAACUCGCUUGCCUAAACUCGCUUGCCUAAACUCGCUUGCCUAAAUACCUGCCUAAUACCUGAACUUGCUUGCCUAAACUCGCUUGCCUAAUACCUAAACUCGCUUGCCUAAACUCGCUUGCCUAAUACCUGAACUUGCUUGCCUAAACUCGCUUGCCUAAUACCUGAACUCGCUUGCCUAAUACCUGAACUUGCUUGCGUAAACUCGCUUGCCUAAUACCUAUUACUCGCUUGCCUAAUACCUGAACUCGCUUGCCUAAACUCGCUUGCCUAAUACCUGAACUUGCUUGCAUAAAACCUAACUUGCUUAGCUUGACUCGCUUGCCUGUACUCGCUUGGCUAAACUCGCUUGCCUAAUACCUGUAGUCCCUUGCCUAAAACCUAAACUUGCUUGUCCAAACACGUUACACAAAGUUAACCAUCCAUAAUCUUUAACCCAAACCAGACUUGUCCCUGGGUCGCUCCACUUUAAUUAAGAAGUUUCUUCUUUUACCUCAUCUGCGUUUUGAGUUUCAUUCUUUGAGGGCUUGAAGUGCUUUGGAGGAUAUUUGAACCUUUGUUCGCCAAAUGUUCAGUGUCCUUGAAUGUAAUGUCUAUGGUCUGACGAUAAUCUGACCUCUUCAUGAAGCAGAAUGUGUGUGUGAAUGUUGUCCCGUGAGCUCCAGGCUCUCUGUGGGCCUGUCAACGUCUCUUUAGCAAAAGGUUGGAGAGUGAAAUUCAUUUUUGUGCCAUUUUCAUGUGUUCCUGAGUAUUUCAGACCUGUGGUGUUUCACAUGAGACCUUAAUGGGAACAUUUCUUUUUCUGCCUGCAUACGUAAUGCCUACAUUAGUAGGGUGAUCACUGUUGAUCCCAAUAUUGUUCAUUAACCACCUCAUUCUUGUAUGAUUUUUUGAUUGAUUACAAAUCAUGUAAUUUGAGCAUAUUUGCAAAUGGCUCCAAAUAUCAGAUUGUGUAAACGAAUGAAAUGUAACCUGCUUGAUUUAAAGAAAAUAAAACAUCCAAAUAUUAUAAACCUGUUUUGUGUUGCUCUCUUACAUGUGGAAAUAAAACGCAGAUAGAUAUGUUUAGCUCUGAUUUGCUGCCUCCUUUUGGUGUGGUACUGGGAUUUGUUUAAUAUACUAUUAUCAUUUCCAGGAUAAGUUAAUAACCUAGUAUAGCCUACCCGGAAAAGAAGGGAUAUGAUGGCCAGGGCAGGCUGUUUCGGUGUCCUGUUA